ensembl:lncRNA
GGGGUGGUUUGGGAGCAGCAGGGCUUUGUGAUAACCCCAAAGACCCCUCCUCUUUCCACCCCCUGCUGCCUCCUCCCUUCCCGCGGGUGUUCCGCAUUAUGGAGCAAGCCAAGAGGAAGUCCACCAGACGGCUCCGGAGGAUGUCUUCCUGAGCCUCACCUGCCCGAGGCCCCCCACCCGAAGGGAAAGCAGACAAGGACAAGCAAAACCAGCAGGCUCCCGGCCCCCCUCUCCUCCUUCGGCUCCAUUUCCCUCCCAGCACUCCUCCCAGCCUCCCACCCCACCCCGCUCUGGGCCUCCCUCCCAGCAUCCCUCACGGCUCCCCUCAAAGUCUGCCUUGCUGUAAGAAAGAGCUGUGGUGCCAGGUUAGCACAGGUGCGCACAGCCUGCCCUGGGCUGCAGGGGGUACGGGGCUGGAGGGGUGGGUGUGGCUCUCUGCAGAUUGAGGCCACUCACCUUCGAGACCUGCCGGAGAACCCCCGUGUGUUUCUGUGGAGAAGGGUCCCCUGGAGUCCCGCCUGGGUGGCCCGUGGUCUCAUUGAGCCCUGGCCAUGGAAGCAGCCUCAGAGGAACACCUGCCAUGUCCUGUCAAGGAGAAGCCCUGUGGGUGACCGAAGCGGUGAUGAAGCUGUACUUAUGAAGGUUCCAGGAAGGCCACAACGACCGUCCCUGCCCCCACGCCCUGCCUCCGCUCACAGCAGCGCAGCAUCACGGUGUGGUCGUGUCCCUGGCUGCCACACCCACUCCAUCUGUUUUCCGUGUGGCUGCUCUGAGGCAUCUGCCAGCGUCCUCUGCCCCCCGCUCCCCACCCACUGAGCCUGGUUCUCCCUGUCCCCCGGGACCCUGGUCUGCCUCUUCCAAAGGCUCCUCUUCCUUCUCCCUGCCUGGUGGGUCCCUCAGCCCCAAGCCCGCCUCUCUCCCUCACUCUCCCCUCUGCACCUGCCACCCUUGGGUUUCUCUCUCAUUCACCCCCCCCCGGCUUUCAACUGGCAUCUUAUUCCAGCCAGGAACUGCCCUGAGCUCCCAACAAUCUAGACUUUUCCAAUGAGUUCUCUCACCCUCCUGAAGCCCAAAGGGAAAUGGGAUCUUCUCCCACCCUCUGGACACAGCUCGUCAGCCCACCAGCUCUGGGGGCUCUUACUGCCAGGGUGGUAGGCAAGGGAAGGCAUGGCUGCAGCAUUGUCAAGAGAAGAACACCUAUUUCCUGAAAAAUAGAAAACUUUGGGAGUUCCCGUCAUGCUUUAGCAGAAACAAAUCUCACUAGUAUCCAUGAGGAUGCAGGUUCGAUCCGUGGCCUGGCUCAGUGGGUUAAGAAUCCUGCAAUGCUGUGGCUGUGGUGUAGGCGGCAGACACAGCUCGGAUCCCUGCAUUGCUGUGGCUGUGGUGUAGGCCGGUGACUACAGCUCCGAUUGGAGCUCCAAUUCGACGCCUAGCCUGGGAACCUCCAUAGGAUGGGUGUGGCCCUAAAAAAAAAAAGAAAACUUUGUAAAUAAAUACAAGUGAUAAAGACAUGUAGGCCAGGGAGUUCCCGUCGUGGUGCAGUGGUUAACGAAUCUGACCAGGAACCAUGAGGUUGCGGGUUCGAUCCCUGCGCUUUCUCAGUGGGUUAACGAUCCGGCGUUGCUGUGAGCUGUGGUGUAGGUUGCAGACGCGGCUUUGAUCCUGCGUUGCUGUGGCUCUGGUGUAGGCUGGUGGCUACAGCUCCGAUUGGACCCGUAGCCUGGGAACCUCCACAUACCGCGGGAGCAGCCCAAGUAAAAUGGCAAAAAGACAAAAAAAAAAAAGACAUGUAGGCCAACCGAGGGACUUGGAGCCACGAGGACUCCACAGACGCAGCAGGGCAGCGGAGUGAGAGCAGUGACUGGCUCUUUGCUCCCUGGCUGGGGAGACCAGCUUUAGUCCCUGCACAGUGCUGAACGAGUGCACCUCUGCCCUGGGGAGACCAGUAACAAAGUAAGAGGGUACGGUGGGACACAAAGUACCAAACUGGGAAACAGUAACCAGUGGCAACAGAGACAGCUAAAAACCUCAGGGGUCCUGUGGAGUUUCCUGUCCUCUGGCCUCUGGGGAGCAGGCCCCAAGUUUGCUCUGCUCUACCAGCUGGUCUUACACCGCCCCUGCCCCUUCCACCCCCAGCUCCCAGGGCCUCAUAUCUCACUUGUGAUCACGGCAGACAUCUCCAUCUCCUGCUCCAGACUGGCAUGGAGCCUUGACAACACGGAGGCUCCUCUGUGUGUGCCCAGCUGCUGAGCACAGACCAACUACCCUGAAGGGGUUCCAUGAGCCUAAGGGGUGGAGGGACAGGGCUGUGGCGAAGAGGGGAUGAGAGCAUUGACCCGGAUUCCCCAGCUUUUCUAGGAAGAGCCACUUUCAAACACUGCUCCCAGGAGACUGCAUUUCUUUCCUGGUCAGAAUGUCUCAUGAAAGAGGUGGGAUGUGAGCUGGUUCCUGAAAGACUGGGUGGGUGGACACUGCCUAAUACCUGAGUGAACGGACAGCUCAGCUGUGGCUGCGGCAGCCAGCAAGGCACUGUAAGCGUGCACGUCUGUUUUAGGAAGGUCUCCCAGGUGACUCCAGGAGACACUGGGGACUGACAGGGGUCAGUGUAUCUAGUCCAAGCGAGAAGGUGAGCGCUCCCCUGGGAUGGAGGAGGGGUCCAGGGUGAGCCACACUUCAAGGGAAGAAAGAGGCAAACGUGCUGGCUUGAGUCAAUGAAGAUUUCGAG